GUUUUUAUAGUGUAUUUAACAUAUUGUAUUUUCAUUACAAAGCUGAAAUCUUUAUUUCUAAAAACC
rnacentral:tRNA from 1 species